CUGGGAUAAGCGGUGGAAACGCCGUCUAAUACCGGAUACGACCUUCCGCCUCAUGGUGGAGGGUGGAAAGUUUUUUCGGUCAGGGAUGGGCUCGCGGCCUAUCAGCUUGUUGGUGGGGUAACGGCCUACCAAGGCGAUUACGGGUAGCCGGCCUGAGAGGGCGACCGGCCACACUGGGACUGAGACACGGCCCAGACUCCUGCGGGAGGCAGCAGUGGGGAAUAUUGCGCAAUGGGCGAAAGCCUGACGCAGCGACGCCGCGUGGGGGAUGACGGCCUUCGGGUUGUAAACCUCUUUUACCACCAACGCAGGCUCCGGGUUCUCUCGGGGUUGACGGUAGGUGGGGAAUAAGGACCGGCUAACUACGUGCCAGCAGCCGCGGUAAUACGUAGGGUCCGAGCGUUGUCCGGAAUUAUUGGGCGUAAAGAGCUCGUAGGCGGCGUGUCGCGUCUGCUGUGAAAGACCGGGGCUUAACUCCGGUUCUGCAGUGGAUACGGGCAUGCUAGAGGUAGGUAG
rnacentral:rRNA from 1 species